UACGGAGGGGGGCGAGCGUUAUUCGGAAUUAUUGGGCGUAAAGGGCGCGUAGGCGGCUGUACAAGUCAAAGGUGAAAUCCCUCGGCUCAACUGAGGAACUGCCUUUGAAACUGUACGGCUUGAGGCCGGGAGGGGGUAGCGGAAUUCCCAGUGUAGCGGUGAAAUGCGUAGAUAUUGGGAGGAACACCAGUGGCGAAGGCGGCUACCUGGACCGGUUCUGACGCUGAGGCGCGAAAGCGUGGGUAGCAAACAGG
rnacentral:rRNA from 1 species